ensembl:lncRNA
UUCUGGGCUCUUGCUAAUGGGGUCAGGAAGACUAUGGGGCUCUGUUGCUUUGGGGGCAUCGGGCUAUCGGGGCUCAAGGUUUGGGGCACAGGGCUAUUGGGGCAUGGGGUUAUGGGGCUCUGUUAUAUGGGGCAGGGGGUUAUGGGGCCCUGUGCUAUGGGGGGCACGCUAUGGGGCUGUACAGGUUGGGGUGUUUGCUAUAGGGCGCUAUGCCUAGGGGGUGUUUCGCUAUGGGGCAGGGAAGUAUGGGGGUCGGGGCUCUGGGGCACAGGGCUAGGGGCACGAGCUUUGGGGCACAGAGCUAUGGGGUGUGCUAUGGGGCACA